AGGAUGAACGCUGGCGGUAUGCUUAACACAUGCAAGUCGAACGGAACCUUCGGGUUUAGUGGCGGACGGGUGAGUAACGCGUGAGAAUCUGCCUCUAGGUCGGGGACAACAACUGGAAACGGUUGCUAAUACCCGAUGUGCAGCAAUGUGAAAGAUUUAUUGCCUAGAGAUGAGCUCGCGUCUGAUUAGCUAGUAGGUGUGGUAAUGGCGCACCUAGGCGACGAUCAGUAACUGGUCUGAGAGGAUGACCAGUCACACUGGGACUGAGACACGGCCCAGACUCCUACGGGAGGCAGCAGUGGGGAAUUUUCCGCAAUGGGCGAAAGCCUGACGGAGCAAUACCGCGUGAGGGACGAAGGCUUUUGGGUCGUAAACCUCUUUUCCCUGAGAAGAAGAUCUGACGGUAUCAGGGGAAUCGAGCAUCGGCUAACUUCGUGCCAGCAGCCGC
rnacentral:rRNA from 1 species